rnacentral:piRNA from 1 species
UGCCAAUGUUCAAAUGAGGGAUGUGAUCUUU